CAUGCUGUACAAAUCUGCACACAUGUAACGUAGUACGCAAUUUUCGAGGACCUCAAAUGGCUCGUGAGUGCUACUUUCAGUUCUACUGGCUAAAAAGUAAACAAAAGAACCAGAGAAUCUCUUUAAAGUUGCUGCUCCCUUGUCCUUGCCUAAACACUAGAAGUUACAACACAUGGUCUCUAACACUAUCUCAGAGGAGUGUGGCCCUUGGUAUUUACAGUAAGUCACCAUGUUUACUGUCAAUGAGAGAAGCACCAACAGUACUGAGACUAAAUAAUGUGCUUUCUCUAUUACUCUAUAAAACCUUUAGUGUAAUCAGCUAAAUUAACGUUAGUACRGCAUUGAACGAAAUCACAAUUGACAUAAAAAAUACAAACUCAGAUAUAGGGUCAAAAUAUGAGAAGACAAGACAUAAUACUUUUUGGGGAGUACACACACGGCAUGUACAGUCCUCUUCUAAGAGAGAAAGAAGGGGAGGAGUUGAGCCCUGAGUUCUUGUGAAAUGAAAGUGAACAAUAGAUUUUCUGUAUAGUCAUAGGCACAUCUGGAGAGAAGUUUGUUUGUUUUUAAUGACUAUUUCGCAUUGCUAUUAAUCAGAUUUUUUUUUAAAUUAUCAGAAGUGGCAGAAGUGGAAGUGACCAGUAAGGCAAAAUGGCAGAGGCUGGUUUUCCUAGUAAGCCAAGGAUGGGAAGAUUAUGCACCUGUGUCGUAGGGGAUACUUUCAAUUCUGAUAAGGACUUGGUAAGACAACUCACUGGCCGAGGA